UAGAGGCAGUGCAGCUCAGACAUGUCAAGAGGACGAAGAUGGCCAGAUGUUAAAACCGUAUAACAGGAUGGAGCUUCCCAGAAAACUACAGAUCAUUAAACUGAAAAAAGUCACAAGCUUUGUCAUCCUAUCAAAUUGGGUUUACCUGCUGUCAGCAUCAAAGCACCUGGCAGAACUGGCACAAUCAUCCAUGCCAACACCACCCAGCUACCAAAGCUUCCCACAAGUGAAGCACCCUGAAAGGCCUGGCAUAGGGAUUUAAUUUACCAUGUCAACUAUAUUUGGAUGGUGACAGAAUGAAAAUGUUUACCAUGCAGGCUUAUAAAACCAGUGCUUUCCUCUUCACUCUUUUGUCAAUAGUUUCAAUCAGAGUCAAAUCUGAUCUUGUGAAACUUAGUCUGCGUUUUUUGAAGUGUGCACUUAAUUCUUUCCGUUCGCUUUUAGCAUUUCUUGGCAAUAUAUAUACUUCACAUUACAAGAACUAUCUGAUCUAAUUAUUUUAGUCCUUGCAGCCACUUGCUUCCAAUUGCUUCCCUCACCUUUGGAUUAGAUAAUUGCAAACCCUGAUGCUUGAUGUCCACUAAUCACCCACUUGCAGUAUUGAUCUGCAACCUUCAGGUCUCCUAGAGAUGAGAAAUGACCACCUAAUGACUUGAAUUCUGAAAAGAGAUGCAUCUGGGAAAUGUGACAUACUGAGAGUUUUAUACAGGAAAUGACAUUACCAGAGGCUUCACCUGGCCCCCAGCUCUGCCUGAAAAAUAAAAACCAUCCUCCAAAGCCCCACUGAUACACCCUUCUCUCAUGCCUGUUGACUUGAGCUUGUUGAGCUUUUGGAUGAUCUCCUGUUUAACAAUUUGCACCACUACCUGUUUCCUUUCACAGCUUUCAGAAGAUUAUGCAUGGGUAAACAGAACAAAAUCUUUGUGUUUUUAUUUCCUUUUUAUAUUUUUAGAAGAGUUUCAUUCAUGUGCUGGAAUCAGAAACUCCUGUUUUCAGUGUAUAUACACACCCAUGUAAAUAAAUCAGGUAGAGGCACAAGUUCAACAAAUGAACUCUCUCCCACAGAGAUCCAAUUAAAGCUUGCUGGGCUAGGUUUUAUUCUAGAAUAAAAAAAAAAAAAAAGCCUUAGGUUUUCACUGCUGAAGCACAAGGAUGUACUUUUCAUAAAACAUAUGCGUAUACUCAAUGCUUUACACCCUAAUUAUGAUCUUGGGUUUAAAUGAUUUACAUGCUGCACUGAAGUCUGCACUUUUAAAGGCAUUUUGGGAAAAAAAAUACAGAUUGAGGACAGACAGAAGAAUUAGAAAGAUUACAAAGAACAAAUAAGCACCAAAAUUCUUCUGCCUUGUACCAUGCAUUAUUAAACAUUAAUAAAUGCCUCAGAAUGUCUUACUGCUUAAUUAUCUGUUUUGAAAAUGAAUUAUUAGUGAAAUGGACAUUUUUAGCUUUAACUAAGCAGGAGACCUUGUGGUAUGAAGACCUCUGUGUUAAAUCACCCAA